rnacentral:rRNA from 1 species
GAUGAACGCUGGCGGCGUGCCUAAUACAUGCAAGUCGAGCGAACGGACGAGAAGCUUGCUUCUCUGAUGUUAGCGGCGGACGGGUGAGUAACACGUGGAUAACCUACCUAUAAGACUGGGAUAACUUCGGGAAACCGGAGCUAAUACCGGAUGAUAUUUUGAACCGCAUGGUUCAAAAGUGAAAGACGGUCUUGCUGUCACUUAUAGAUGGAUCCGCGCUGCAUUAGCUAGUUGGUAAGGUAACGGCUUACCAAGGCAACGAUGCAUAGCCGACCUGAGAGGGUGAUCGGCCACACUGGAACUGAGACACGGUCCAGACUCCUACGGGAGGCAGCAGUAGGGAAUCUUCCGCAAUGGGCGAAAGCCUGACGGAGCAACGCCGCGUGAGUGAUGAAGGUCUUCGGAUCGUAAAACUCUGUUAUUAGGGAAGAACAUAUGUGUAAGUAACUGUGCACAUCUUGACGGUACCUAAUCAGAAAGCCACGGCUAACUACGUGCCAGCAGCCGCGGUAAUACGUAGGUGGCAAGCGUUAUCCGGAAUUAUUGGGCGUAAAGCGCGCGUAGGCGGUUUUUUAAGUCUGAUGUGAAAGCCCACGGCUCAACCGUGGAGGGUCAUUGGAAACUGGAAAACUUGAGUGCAGAAGAGGAAAGUGGAAUUCCAUGUGUAGCGGUGAAAUGCGCAGAGAUAUGGAGGAACACCAGUGGCGAAGGCGACUUUCUGGUCUGUAACUGACGCUGAUGUGCGAAAGCGUGGGGAUCAAACAGGAUUAGAUACCCUGGUAGUCCACGCCGUAAACGAUGAGUGCUAAGUGUUAGGGGGUUUCCGCCCCUUAGUGCUGCAGCUAACGCAUUAAGCACUCCGCCUGGGGAGUACGACCGCAAGGUUGAAACUCAAAGGAAUUGACGGGGACCCGCACAAGCGGUGGAGCAUGUGGUUUAAUUCGAAGCAACGCGAGGAACCUUACCAAAUCUUGACAUCCUUUGACAACUCUAGAGAUAGAGCCUUCCCCUUCGGGGGACAAAGUGACAGGUGGUGCAUGGUUGUCGUCAGCUCGUGUCGUGAGAUGUUGGGUUAAGUCCCGCAACGAGCGCAACCCUUAAGCUUAGUUGCCAUCAUUAAGUUGGGCACUCUAAGUUGACUGCCGGUGACAAACCGGAGGAAGGUGGGGAUGACGUCAAAUCAUCAUGCCCCUUAUGAUUUGGGCUACACACGUGCUACAAUGGACAAUACAAAGGGCAGCGAAACCGCGAGGUCAAGCAAAUCCCAUAAAGUUGUUCUCAGUUCGGAUUGUAGUCUGCAACUCGACUACAUGAAGCUGGAAUCGCUAGUAAUCGUAGAUCAGCAUGCUACGGUGAAUACGUUCCCGGGUCU